rnacentral:rRNA from 1 species
CGGACGGGUGAGUAACACGUGGAUAACCUACCUAUAAGACUGGGAUAACUUCGGGAAACCGGAGCUAAUACCGGAUAAUAUAUUGAACCGCAUGGUUCAAUAGUGAAAGACGGUUUUGCUGUCACUUAUAGAUGGAUCCGCGCCGCAUUAGCUAGUUGGUAAGGUAACGGCUUACCAAGGCAACUAUGCGUAGCCGACCUGAGAGGGUGAUCGGCCACACUGGAACUGAGACACGGUCCAGACUCCUACGGGAGGCAGCAGAU